UGGGGAAUUUUCCGCAAUGGGCGAAAGCCUGACGGAGCAAUGCCGCGUGGAGGUGGAAGGCCUACGGGUCGUCAACUUCCUUUACUCGGAGAAGAAACAAUGACGGUAUCUGAGGAAUAAGCAUCGGCUAACUCUGUGCCA
rnacentral:rRNA from 1 species